UUUCUAUCCACCCACAAAAACAUAUCAGAAUUUCAGUCCCAAGACAAAAACCGUUCAACUCCUUGAUUACAAUUUGUGCCCUAGGCUAUCAACACUUGUUUGCGAAGUAUAUCAGAGCCUUCGUUCAUCCUCCACCGCGGCGUGGCGUGUUGACGACGUCAAGCUACAGCGCCAUUGUGAUUUGAAGGCCGGUAGAAUUCCAAAACAAUCUUGUGUAACCCCCAUUUUUUUACAACCUUGCUUUUUGUUGAUAAGGAGUCAUGCCUCGUUCUUUUGGUGGUGGAGGAAAAUCUUCUUCAGCUUCUUCUGGUUCAAACAUUGUAAAACUUGCUGCAACUAUUUCGGGUUUAUCUUCUCUAAGCAAGAACUUGGCAAAUUUUCAUGUAAAGGAGCCACGUUCAUGUGAGAUUUUAGAAAAAGAAUAUGAAGAGUGCAUGAGCUGAACUCCAACCAGUUACGAUGCCCAACACUGUGAAAAAAUUCGCAGAAGGAUGACAUCUUGUCUUGAAAGUUUUGCUUUUUGGAGGGGGUUGUUUGUGGGAGUAGUACGUGUUGACGGAAUCAAAGCGUCGGGAAUCUCUCCAGAAAGAAGCAACUGCUGCAGGUUUUGCCUGUACUGAAGAUUACAAAAAUCAUAAAAGGGAUAACGACCCUAGAAAGUGCAGAAUAGCUUAUGAGAAGUACAAGAAGUGCCUUAGCGAGGAUGAAAAUAAUAGAUUUUGUCAAUUCUAUAUCAACAAUUGUCCCCAAUUUAAGUAGGCUCUCCUAAAUGUCGUGCUGCUGUUCUCCUUGCCACUACUUCGUGAAUGUCCCGAGCACACCGAAGUUUAUAUAUAAGUUAUGCCUCAGAUCAGAGACUAUUAUGUAUGGAUGGAGUAAUUAUCUAGUUAGAACAAUGCUUCAAUUUAAGUAAUUUUGCAAGUUAAAGUUUGUUGUCGUAUAUUUAUACAUACAUAUAUAUAUCAGAGAUGUUUGCAACCAAGUUAAUUCAUAUCUUGUUUGUAAAAUGCUUUGCAAUUUUUAAAAUAUUAAAAUAGCAGUGUUUUGCUUAGGCAGAUAAAA